GCACCUUCCGCCGGUUCAACUCAGACCGCAACCACCGACCUAUACCAUCACCGAAAACUCCACCUUCAUGCUCCCAACGCAACCAGGGUUUUAAGCAUUUCCGUCAUGCUAGGUUCAUUACCUAUACUACCUCUACCAGCUCCUCCUACUGAUGGAAAUCUCGGUCCUCUCCCUGAGUCUCAACUCACUAAAGAAGAGGAGGACGAGAGGAAUGCGAAAUUGUCCGCCGAGGAAUCGGCCGCACCGACAACAACGGUUGCCACACAUACUAGAACUAUUGGAAUAAUUCAUCCCCCUCCAGACAUUAGAACCAUUGUUGAUAAAACCUCUCAGUUCGUCGCUAAAAAUGGUCCGGAGUUUGAAAAGAGGAUUAUUGCAAAUAAUACAGGCAAUGUUAAGUUCAAUUUUUUAAAUUCCUCGGAUCCAUAUCAUGCUUAUUAUCAGCACAGGUUGGCUGAAUUUCGCGCUCAGAAUCAAUCUUCAACUCAACAACCUGGUGAUUCGGCUUUGUUGGAAUCGGCUACACCUGCGCCGGCGUCUGAUAGUAAUGAUGUAGCAAAUGCAGAGAAGCCUGAUAUUUCUGCACAGUUUAAACCAGUAAGGAAAGUACUUGAUCCCCCUGAGGCUGAGCAGUAUACGGUUAGGCUUCCUGAAGGAAUUACAGGGGAGGAGUUGGAUAUAAUAAAGCUUACGGCACAAUUUGUUGCGAGAAAUGGGAAAUCUUUUUUGACUGGAUUGACAAGUAGGGAAAUUAAUAAUCCCCAAUUUCAUUUCUUGAAACCAACCCACAGCAUGUUUACAUUUUUCACUUCCCUUGCGGAUGCGUAUUCAAAGGUUUUGAUGCCUCCGAAAGGUUUGACAGAGAAGUUGAAGAAGAGUGUCCCUGACAUGACUACUGUGCUUGAAAGGUGUGUCAAUAGGCUUGAAUGGGAGCGUUCGCAAGAGCAAGCUAGGCAAAAGGCUGAGGAUGAGAUAGAGCAAGAAAGAAUACAAAUGGCUAUGAUUGAUUGGCAUGAUUUUGUGGUGGUUGAAUCCAUAGAUUUUGCUGACGAUGAGGACGAAGAAUUACCUCCUCCAAUGACUCUUGAGGAGGUUAUAAGGAGAAGCAAGAUGACACCCAUGGAAGAAGAUAUUGUUGAGCCAGGAAAGGAAGUAGAAAUGGAAAUGGACGAGGAAGAGGCCCAGCUUGUUGAAGAGGGAAUGAGAGCUGCUAGUUUGGAAGACAACGAUGAAGGGAAGAAGAGCGAAGUUAGGGUUACCGAAGACCCCGACCCACCAAUGAGGAUUGUGAAGAACUGGAAGAGACCAGAGGAUAGGGUUCCUGCAGAUAGAGAUUCAACCAAGUUUGUUGUUUCUCCUAUUACUGGUGAACUGAUUCCUAUUAGUGAAAUGUCAGAACAUAUGCGUAUUUCUCUCAUUGAUCCCAAGUACAAAGAACAAAAAGAAAGGAUGUUUGCUAAAAUUCGUGAAACGACACUGGCACAGGAUGAUGAAAUCUCAAGAAACAUUGUUGGACUUGCUCGGACCCGUCCUGAUAUAUUUGGUACUACAGAGGAAGAGGUCUCCAAUGCUGUCAAGGCUGAAAUUGAGAAGAAAAAUGAUGAGCAACCUAAGCAGGUUAUAUGGGAUGGUCACAGUGGUAGUAUUGGCCGUACUGCAAACCAAGCCAUGUCACAAAAUAUGGGCGGUGAGGAUCAAAAUGAUGCUUCUAAUAAUGAAUUCAAAAACCUUCCUGGUCCUGCUGCACCACCUCCAAGACCUGGUAUGCCUUCAAUUCGUCCUCUUCCACCACCACCUGGACUAGCUUUGAAUCUACCUCGUGUUCCUAUGAAUACCAUGCAGUAUUCUGCUCCUAACAACAGUGGCCUUCCGAUGCCUCCACCAAGACCACCAGGCAUGCACAUGAUGCCAUCUGUUCGGCCAGCGCCCCCUCCUCCAAUGCAAAUGUCCUCUGGACAGCAUUCAAUGAUGGCUGGUCAACCACCUCCAAUGCAUCCAUCAAUGCAUCAUAUGAAUAACCAAGGAGUUCCCAUUCCUCCACCUCCUGGAUCUCAGUUCACUCCUGUUCCACGAUCUUAUGCUCCUCUCCCUGGUCCACCAUCAGGGAUGCCUAUGAUGCAUCCACCGCCUUUGCCUCAAGGAGUACCACCGCCGCCACCACCUGAGGAAGCUCCUCCACCGCUUCCAGAGGAACCAGAACCAAAGAGGCAGAAGCACGAUGAUUCUGCUCUGAUCCCUGAGGAUAAAUUUCUGGCCCAACAUCCGGGACCUGCUCGCAUAAGUAUAUCUGUUCCUAAUGUUGAGGAAGGAAAUCUCAAAGGACAAGUUCUGGAAAUCACAGUGCAAUCUCUGUCUGAAACUGUUGGCAGCCUGAAGGAAAAAAUUGCUGGGGAGAUCCAGCUCCCUGCUAACAAGCAGAAAUUGAGUGGAAAGCCAGGCUUUCUCAAGGACAAUAUGUCACUUGCACAUUACAAUGUUAGUGGAGGAGAAACACUCUCCCUAACCUUGAGAGAACGCGGUGGUAGAAAGAGAUGAGCAUAUUAUGUGCAUCGCCGUUCAAGAAGAUUUUGGCACCUUGGCGUUUAUCUCUUGGGGGAAAUGGGAAGUAUUGGAGUUCCAAUAUCUAAUCUGAUGAAGUCAAAUUGUUUACCUCACAAUUAUCAUUUUAUUUUACAUUUCCUUUUAUGUGAUGGUUUUGGCAGGAGUAGUAUUUUGUAUUAUGGGUUAUACACAUUGUCAAGACUCAAGAGCAUGUUGUCAUAUGUUUUUAAAUUCUACUACUGUGGAGAAAAUUGUAGGUUGUGUUGUUGGUUUCACAAUUUUGGAUUCCCCAUCUGUGCUUUGUUUCUGUUCUGGGCGGAUAGUAAAACUCAUUACCGUUGGAUAUAGUCUGAUUGCUAGUUAAUAAUCAAUUAUAUGUUGGGCUGGAGGGUAUAAAAGUUGGAACAGGGGGAUGCAUGUUAUUGUUGAUGCCAUACCAGGUUGUUUGCCAGUGUAUUGUUGGUGCAAGAUUUCUUGAGGUAUAUGGAGAGCAAGUACAUCCUCUUGAGAUUGCUAAUUCUAUUCUCCUGAUUUAUAAAUAUAAUGUGGUAUGAGACAACACAAGAAGAAUUCAUGGUUUCCCAAUUAAACUGUGUUAUGUGUAUGAUGGAUUUUGAGUAAUAGAAAGCAAUGAGUUUUCUAUUAAAAUUAUGCAAGGUAUAUAUUUGCCGA